rnacentral:lncRNA from 1 species
GCCAGUUUGGUCUAAAACUCCUGGGCUCAAGUGAUCCUCCUGCCUUGGCCUCCCAAAGUGUUGGAAUUACACAGACAUGAGCCAUUGCACCUGGCUUCAAAGACAUUUUGAAUGAAGUUUCAAAAGCUAGCAUUCCUAAACCAAAUCAUGCCAAUGCAGUCUACAAUGAGGCAGGUCUACGUUCCCAGACUCCUCAAGGCUCACGCGUAGGUCUGGGGCAGGCACAUCUUAGAAGCACAUCCGUUUCAUAUCAUCAAGACACUCCACACCUGGGCACCACUCACAGCUGAACUAAGGCCCCGGACACAAGGUCUCACACCAGGGCGCACUAACCUCAGCCAACCCAGCCCGGGAGUGAUGUCCAGCCG